rnacentral:tRNA from 1 species
GCCUGGUUGGCACAGUCAGUGGAGCAUGUGACUCUUGAUUUCAGAGUUGUGGGUUUGAGUCCCAUGUUGGGUA